UGGGGCUGAGGGAGUGUUGUAGCGAGCGGGUGCCGUCAUGGCCGGCGGGAUCGUUAGGUCGCCGGCCGCCUGGCGCGGUGGCGCCGCUCUCUUGGGAAAAGUCGCCCGCCAGGAGUUCUCCGCCAACGUUAUCCGCGAGGAGGAGCCGUUGUGGACGAGGAGCCGCUCCCAGAAGGCCGUUGUGAGGUUAUCCGGAGCAGAAGAUUGUGGCGCACCUCUUCUUGGGCCGUUUGAUGAUUGAUGGCGAGAAGUGUGCCUGCUAACCUGGGCCUGACCAAUGGAUUCCGGAUGGCUUGUGAGAUACCCACCCUCAGCCCCUUCAGACUACCGCGCACGUCUCUGUAUUCUGGGUGGCCGUCAGUUGGGCCGGCCUCCUGGCUAAGAUGUUUGCACCGCAGGAGUUGCUGCACGCGUACGGAUCGCCACCGAAUGGAUUUCACGUGUUGCCCGUCAGCCUAGCCACCGUUGACAUAUAAUUGUUUUUGGUGGGUGUCUGUGGGAGGGUAAUGAAAAGCUUUGAGCAGCAUUUGCACAAUAAAGAUGGAGCAUGGGGAUAUCAUCUCUGUCUCGCUUGUCUUACUGAUGGAAAUGAUUCUGCAAGUUAAAACGGUGGGUCUCCGUCUCCCAAAGACAAUAUAGGAUGUGCUGUGUGUUUGAGGCCUUGCCGUCUUCCCCCCAGCUUCCAAAUAAAAGGGCGUGGGUUUUAUCGUCGUACUAGCAGCAUCGACAAGCAGCAGGCGUAGAAUUAGAGAAGAAUAACGUAGGAAGAAUGCUUCCAGCUAUCGUCUGUUGUAUGGCCCCGUCGCGAGGCCGAACAAACUCCACCCGCAUGAUUUCUGACCGGUGCACGUCAGCCUGCUUUUAAGCAAUCUCGGAGUUUUGCCACUGCUUUCUUUCAGUCGCGGAUUUUGCGACGUAGAGAAAUAAUUUCUCCCGCGGAAACUUUCCCAAAUGGAGAAGACUUUGUGAUACUUGAGUCGGCGAUUGUUGCGCUUCUGCUGUCUUUGAGACUCAGCUGCCCUUCUCCAUUUCUCUUUUUUUAAUAUGAACAAAACAUUAAAAAAAAAAAAAAAAAAAAAAAAGGAGUAUUGUUCCGUAACCAGAAGGAGGAGUAGCUACAGGCACCGUAAGGCUUUUACAUGUAAUCACCUCUCGCGCUUUGUUAGGCCUCUGGCUUUGCUUGAGUCUUUGUUGAAUUGCGAAUUGCAUUCAAGGCUUACUGGAGUGGGGGAGUUUCAAAAUGCUAAUAAAUAUUUGCAUUAAAAAUUAAAGACCUUGAAACUUGCUAAAU
rnacentral:lncRNA from 1 species